CCAGUGUGUGAGAGACUUGCGCGCCUAGAGAGAGCCGUCAGCCGAUGAAUCAUCACUACUUCUUCACGCUCAUUGUGUUUGCGUGGUUUACACUACGCCUGCCUUUCAAGCCUACUUUGGAUGUGUUUCAACUGGGGAUUCCACAGCAUAAUCUCGAGUAAACCGGUGGACGCGUACCCGCCAGGCGGUUAACGGCUGAGAUGCUGUGAGCGACAGAAGAUGGAAUGCGCUCUCUGUACAGAGACGUCUGAAGGAGGAGAGGGCCAUGAGUUCUGUAGAGAUUAAUGUGGAAGGAAGUCUCAGGGGAGGAACGCAGAGAGGGAAGACCACGGAGCUCUGUAGAGACGAACUGCGCCUACGAUGUUCGAUCUGCAGGUGGUCUACGAACAAAGGAGCUGAUGGACCCUUUGACAUGGUGACACAAAGCAGGUGGUGGCCUCGCUAUGCCAGUUUUAAUGAAGUAACCGCUUUCGGUUUUUUGUCCAUCGAUAUCCAGAUUUCGCACAAACUGCCGGCAGAGGUCCAGCAAUAGUCCCGCUCCGUCCGAAACACCGAGACAUUCCGUAUAUUGGCGUUCUUGGAGGUGUAUCCCUUGUGUCCACACGUGCUUGGAAGGCUCUGCGAAACACUCCAAGCAGCUCCUCGCUUCGUUUAAUACCGAAUUGAGAAUUUUACGC
rnacentral:lncRNA from 1 species